UACGGGGGGGGCAAGCGUUGUUCGGAAUUACUGGGCGUAAAGGGCUCGUAGGCGGUCAACUAAGUCAGACGUGAAAUCCCUCGGCUUAACCGGGGAACUGCGUCUGAUACUGGAUGGCUCGAGUUUGGGAGAGGGAUGCGGAAUUCCAGGUGUAGCGGUGAAAUGCGUAGAUAUCUGGAGGAACACCGGUGGCGAAGGCGGCAUCCUGGACCAACACUGACGCUGAUGAGCGAAAGCCAGGGGAGCAAACGGG
rnacentral:rRNA from 1 species